AUUGAACGCAGGCGGCAGGCUUAACACAUGCAAGUCGAGCGGAGAGAGGUAGCUUGCUACUGAUCUUAGCGGCGGACGGGUGAGUAAUGCUUAGGAAUCUGCCUAUUAGUGGGGGACAACAUUUCGAAAGGAAUGCUAAUACCGCAUACGUCCUACGGGAGAAAGCAGGGGAUCUUCGGACCUUGCGCUAAUAGAUGAGCCUAAGUCGGAUUAGCUAGUUGGUGGGGUAAAGGCCUACCAAGGCGACGAUCUGUAGCGGGUAUGAGAGGAGGUGCCGCAACACUGGGGCUGAGACACGGCCCAGACUGCUACGGGAGGCAGCAGUGGGGAAUAUUGGACAAUGGGCGGAAGCCUGAUCCAGCCAUGCCGCGUGUGUGAAGAAGGCCUUAUGGUUGUAAAGCACUUUAAGCGAGGAGGAGGCUACUUUAGUUAAUACCUAGAGAUAGAGGACGUUACUCGCAGAAUAAGCACCGGCUAACUCUGUGCCAGCAGCCGCGGUAAGAC
rnacentral:rRNA from 1 species